rnacentral:rRNA from 1 species
UAGGGAAUUUUGGACAAUGGGCGAAAGCCUGAUCCAGCAACGCCGCGUGCGCGAUGAAGGCCUUCGGGUUGUAAAGCGCUUUUAGAGGAGAUGAGAAAGGACAGUAUCCUCUGAAUAAGCCUCGGCGAACUACGUGCCAGCAGCCGCGGUAAAACGUAGGAGGCUAGCGUUAUCCGGAUUUAUUGGGCGUAAAGCGUGUGCAGGCGGUUAUGCAAGUUGGAUGUGAAAGCUCCUGGCUUAACUGGGAGAGGUCGUUCAAAACUGCAUGACUAGAGAAUGGGAGAGGGAGGUGGAAUUCCGGGUGUAGUGGUAAAAUGCGUAGAUAUCCGGAGGAACACCAGUGGCGAAAGCGGCCUCCUGGACCAUUUCUGACGCUCAGACACGAAAGCUAGGGUAGCAAACGG